AGAUGUUAUUGAGAGGGUACCAUUUCGAUGAGCGAAGGCACCUGCGCAUGGUACUCAACUCUUACAGGAAUGGGAAGGAACAACUGUUGGAUGAUCUAUGGUGCCACCUGUGCCACCACAACCGUGCCCCGCCUCCACCUGUAAUAAUGGAAAUAUUUUGCCUACAAGGAGACACAGGAGGGCAAGAUACAGAACACAUCCUCCAUGUCGUGGCUCAAUCUACUGAACCGAAACGCGGUUCGCUUAAAGGAUGAGCAUGUUACCAAGUUAGUCCACGAAUUCAAUAACUUCGUUAGCUCGAGAAGUUCCUCUGAUAA